GACGAACGCUGGCGGCGUGCUUAACACAUGCAAGUCGAACGGAGUCUUGCGUCAACACAGAGUGCUUUUUAAAGAGCACUGUGUGUUGAUGUAAGACUUAGUGGCGGACGGGUGAGUAACACGUGAGCAACCUGCCCCAGACUCUGGGAUAACAGUUGGAAACAGCUGCUAAUACCGGAUACGAGACGGAGAGGCAUCUCUACCGUCUGGAAAGUUUUUCGGUCUGGGAUGGACUCGCGGCCUAUCAGCUAGUUGGUGAGGUAAUGGCUCACCAAGGCGACGACGGGUAGCCGGCCUGAGAGGGUGACCGGCCCGAGGGGCACUGAGAUACGGCCCUUACUCUUACGGGAGGCAGCAGUGGGGAAUAUUGGACAAUGGAGGAAACUCUGAUCCAGCAAUUCUGUGUGCACGAUGAAGGUUUUCGGAUCGUAAAGUGCUUUCAGUAGGGAAGAAGAAAGUGACGGUACCUACAGAAGAAGCGACGGCUAAAUACGUGCC
rnacentral:rRNA from 1 species